UACGUAGGGUGCGAGCGUUAAUCGGAAUUACUGGGCGUAAAGCGUGCGCAGGCGGUUGGUUAAGUCUGAUGUGAAAGCCCCGGGCUCAACCUGGGAACCGCGCUUGAGACUGGCAUGCUCGAGUUCGGGAGAGGAUGGUGGAAUUCCCAGUGUAGAGGUGAAAUUCGUAGAUAUUGGGAAGAACACCGAUGGCGAAGGCAGGUCUCUGGGCCACUACUGACGCUGAGAAGCGAAAGCGUGGGGAGCGAACAGG
rnacentral:rRNA from 1 species